AAUAGUCUAACGGCUGAACCAGCAAUUUUGAUGAAUCUAAUGUAAAAAAAACAGGUUUUAAAAUUCAAGGUAAAAUAAUGAUAAUGACAAUGUUUAUCUAUAAGACUUGACCAAUUCUCGUGCCAGCAGUCGCGGCAAGUCGGGUAAGCCAAGUGUUAGUCAUCUUUAUUAGGUUUAAAGGGUACCUAGACAGUAUAAAUAAAUUCAAAAAAUAGAAAUAUACUUGAGUUUUGUACGGGAGGGAGAUGUGAGUAUUGUUAGAGUAGAGAUGAAAUCCUUUGAUACUAAUAAGACUGAUAAAGGUGAAAACGGACCUCUAUGUAAAAACUGACGUUGAGGGACGAAGGCUCGGGUCGUGAAAAGGAUUAGAUACCCUUGUAGUCCGGGCAGAAAAUGAUGAGUGCCAUAGGUUACGUUAAUAGUGGCUUAUAAAUGAAAGUGUAAGCAUUCCACCUCAUGAGUAUAGCGGCAACGCCGGAAUUGAAAUCAUUAGACCGUUUCUGAAACCAGUAGUGAAGUAUGAUAUUUAAUUCGUUGAUCCACGAAAAACCUUACCAAGAUUUGAAUUAGCUAUAGUUUUAAAUAACUAGAGGUAUUUUCUGUUUAAAGUUAGCUUUAGACAAACAGGUGUUGCACGGCUGUUUUUAACCAAUGUACUGAGUCUUCUAAAUGAAAAAAAUUGGUGAAAUCCCUUUCCUUAGUUAAUACUAGGGACUUUUUAUAAAAGGGCUUAAUACAAGUCAUCAUGACCCUCAUUU
rnacentral:rRNA from 1 species